CUUGGUUUUUCUGAGAAACCCAGCCGGAUUAGGCUGCCAGGGCGAGUAGAGGGGAGGAGGAGGGGAGCUGGUGGAACCUGGUGGAAGUCUCCCGGGCAGUCUGAUCACACUUUGUCCUUGUCCUCCAGUCUCCUCCUCCUAGGUGCAGAGAUUGUGGGCAGACUAUGUAAUCGCUGCAGAGGGGGAAGAGGAGGGAUCGGCGCUCUCCUGCGGCGGAGGCACGACGCAGCGACUCAGCUAGGCAGAGUUUCGUUGAGGCUACGCCUGGUUUGCGCCCCCGGGCGAGGAGGUCGGUCAGUCUAGCCUGGCGGUCGCGAGUCCAACUCCGGGCGUCCCCGAGGCAUGUAAGGCAGCGAGUGAGCACCCCGGUUCCACUGUGCCGCGCCGGCAGCCUGCAGACAGCAUGAAGAAGGACAGCCUGAGUCGCGCCGAUCAGCAGUAUGAGUGCGUGGCGGAGAAUACCGAAGGCGCCUAAAAGAAGGUGUUCAAGGCCCAAGAUGUGAAGAAUGGCGGCCGCUUCUUUACUCUGAAGCGCGUGUGAGUGAAGACCAGUGAGGAGGGCAUGUGGCUCUCCACCAUCUGCGAAGUGGUGGUGCUGAGGCACCUGGAGAAUUUGAGCACCUCAACGUGGUCAGGUGAGCUGGGCGCCCUGACUAUGGAGUCCAGGAAGGUGCUGGGCAAGGGGCGGCUGGUGGCCCAACUAAAGUUAAGAGUUGAGUUUCCCCAGAUAAAACCUGUGACCCUGCUAGACAGGGCAGAAAAAGAGACCUGCGGUGGCUUCCCAGCAGUCAAGCUAUUCUGGAGAGCUUUCGCUCUGUGUGCCCCAAGUGGUCCAGUGGCUUUGGGUGUCUUUUAG